GGGCUUCGGAGUGAGGCUCUGGGUCACCUCCCACCCGUGUUUACCUUGUUGCUUCGGCGGCCCGCCUUAACUGGCCGCCGCUUACGCCCCCGGCCCGCGCCCGCCGAAGACACCCUCGAACUCUGUCUGAAGAUUGAAGUCUGAGUGAAAAUAUAAAUUAUUUAAAACUUUCAACAACGGAUCUCUUGGUUCCGGCAUCGAUGAAGAACGCAGCGAAAUGCGAUACGUAAUGUGAAUUGCAAAUUCAGUGAAUCAUCGAGUCUUUGAACGCACAUUGCGCCCUGGUAUUCCGGGCAUGCCUGUCCGAGCGUCAUUGCUGCCCUCAAGCCCGGCUUGUGUGUUGGGCGUCGAUCUCCGGGGACGGGCCCGAAAGGCAGCGGCGGCACCGCGUCCGGUCCUCGAGCGUAUGGGGCUUUGUCACCCGCUCUGUAGGCCCGGCCGGCGCUUGCCGAUCAACCCAAAUUAUCCAGGUUGACCUCGGAUCAGGUAGGGAUACCCGCUGAACUUAAGCAUAUCAAUAAGCAGGAA
rnacentral:sRNA from 1 species